UACGAAGGGGGGCUAGCGUUGCUCGGAAUCACUGGGCGUAAAGGGUGCGUAGGCGGGUCUUUAAGUCAGGGGUGAAAUCCUGGAGCUCAACUCCAGAACUGCCUUUGAUACUGGCGACCUUGAGUCCGGGAGAGGUGAGUGGAACUGCGAGUGUAGAGGUGAAAUUCGUAGAUAUUCGCAAGAACACCAGUGGCGAAGGCGGCUCACUGGCCCGGUACUGACGCUGAGGUGCGAAAGCGUGGGGAGCAAACAGG
rnacentral:rRNA from 1 species